rnacentral:rRNA from 1 species
AUUGAACGCUGGCGGCAGGCCUAACACAUGCAAGUCGAGCGGCAGCGGGCCUUCGGGUGCCGGCGAGCGGCGGACGGGUGAGGAACGCGUGGGAAUCUGCCUAUAGGUGGGGGAUAGCCCGGAGAAAUCCGGAUUAAUACCGCAUAAUACCUGAGGGUUAAAACGGAGGAUCGCAAGACUUCGUGCCUAUAGAUGAGCCCACGUCAGAUUAGCUAGUUGGUAGGGUAAAGGCCUACCAAGGCGACGAUCUGUAGCUGGCCUGAGAGGGUGGCCAGCCACACUGGAACUGAGACACGGUCCAGACUCCUACGAGAGGCAGCAGUGGGGAAUAUUGGACAAUGGGCGCAAGCCUGAUCCAGCCAUGCCGCGUGUGUGAAGAAGGCCUUCGGGUUGUAAAGCACUUUAAGUUGGGAGGAAGGUUCGAUGGCUAAUAUCCAUCGGAAUUGACGUUACCAACAGAAUAAGCACCGGCUAAUUCCGUGCCAGCCGCCGCUGUAA